UACGGAGGAUGCAAGCGUUAUCCGGAAUGAUUGGGCGUAAAGCGUCCGCAGGUGGCCCUGUAAGUCUGCUGUUAAAGAGUGAGGCUUAACCUCAUAAAAGCAGUGGAAACUACAGAGCUAGAGUGCGUUCGGGGCAGAAGGAAUUCCUGGUGUAGCGGUGAAAUGCGCAGAUAUCAGGAAGAACAUCGGUGGCGAAGGCGCUCUGCUGGACCAUAACUGACACUCAGGGACGAAAGCUAGGGGAGCGAAUGGG
rnacentral:rRNA from 1 species